AUGAGAUUUUGGACUGUGGACUUUUGAGUUAAUGCCGAAAUACCGUGCUGCUUUGGACAACUCAACCUGCCCUGGACAGUGUGGGGGCCCAGACUCUAGUUGAUUCAUUUUUGCCUUUGCCAUGGCACCAAGCACAGAACCUUUCACAAAAUAGGUUGCUGAGCAAGGAAAGAAAUCCGUCUCCCUCCAUCGGUGGAUGAUGGGUUGAUAGAAGAUGAACUGGACUGUACUGUCAGCGGAGCCCGAGUUACGAAUCUGCAGGAGUCAACAGGAAAGUAGAAGUAAUGUGACAGUGCGGUGCUUUCUGGUCCCUUGCAGCUUCGAACAAGAGUAUAUGGUAGUGCUGAUGGUUUUAGGCUGUGUGAGGGACUGCACUGCGGGAGAAGUGGCAAUGGCAGUAUCAUGUAUCCUACCAUUUUACCAGUGAAUGGUCCUUGCAUAAGCUUUCACUAUCAUUAUCUUCUGAGUUCUGUUGCCACAGAGCAAGGGAGAACAAUAUCUCAAUUUGUGAUUUCACUAUCAUCUUAUUCCAAGCCUGUAUUCCCUUUCCGUCCUUUAUUUCCAACCUCUUUGGUAUAAUAGAUAAAAUUAUGUGGAUUUUAAAAUGUAGAUUCAGAAAUAGACAAUUUGUUCUAAGAAAAUUAUAUACUGCAGAAAAUAAAAGAUACUGGUUUUGGUUAAGAAAAAAGACGAGUUGAAGAAUUAAAUAACACUUCCCAUUCAGAGACACAUAUUGGGCUUCUUGUCCAUUUAGUGUGCGAAGUUACCAACUAGAUGCUUGCUAAAAGGCAAACUUCUGGGCCCAUGCCCAGCGAACUAGGUAAUUCAAAUGUUGAUGGUUUAAGAAUCAAACUGAAAACACAAAUUUAUGUCAUAAAAACGAUUACUUACUUAAAAACAAUUUAUUUGCUUUUAAAUAAAACUGGUACUUAAUGGAAA